CGCGAGUUUAUUUCCUCAGAGAAACCAAGCGGAUUGAAGCGCUGUCUACAUUUCAAAUUAGUUUAGGUCGCGUGAGUCUGUCUGGAUUUAAAAGAAUGCACCACAUAUAUGAAAAUGCGCACGUGAGCAGAAAUCUGAAUUAUCACAGUUCUAGCACACAUUCAUUGCUAGCUUUUUAUGUAGUUUUAUGGCCUUUAUUAAACAGACAUUAGCCAAUCUUGCCACACGUUUCCAAGUCCUAAAUCAGAGGGCUAAUUUUUUUUUUUAAAUUCAUAGGAUUUUGUUGUUUUGUUUUUGAGACAAGGUUACCUGUAGCCCAGGCUGUCCUCAACUGCACUGUGCAGCUAAGGCUGAGCUUGAACUCCUGAUCCCUCUGCCUCACCUCCGGAGAGCUGGGAGGGACUGCACGGUUAUGCCACUAGUGCCUGCUUCACAGAUCUUUUAUUCCCAAUGGAGUACCAGGCAAAAAAAUGAGAGGAUGGCCAGGUAACUGCAUCGGACAAAGGGCAUGAUGUCUGGGAGAAACUGCAGCCUUUCCCUAAGAAGUCUGAGACACAAGUGUAACCCACAUGCGAAUGGAAGGCGCUGAGAAGGAAAGGGCUGAGAACGGAAGGGGCGCAUGAUCACUGAGGACUCAGCUGUCACGUAGAGGUCUUCAGGAAGGGAUAUGGAAAACUACUGCUGACCUCUAAAGUACUCCCUGUGAAGAAGGGCCAAAGUCAUGCACACCUAGGCCUCAGUGGAUAUUGGCGGUGGAGAGGAAACAGCAGAGGACUCUUGGGUGCAGCCUCACUGCCUGCAGCAGAGAAGAAAGUCCCUCUCUCCCAGUUUCUGAGCAUUGGACUAUGAAAAUCGAAUGGAGAUCUGUGCAGAGACUUCCGCCAGCCUUGACAAGCGUAUAUGGAGAGACCAGGACACGCCAGCCUUGACAAGCGUAUAUGGAGAGGCCAGGACAACAGAGACAGACUGAGAGGAGAGAGCUGCAAGCGUCCACAUUGUCAUGUCUCCUGUGUUAUCCUAACCACUAACCUUGAGAUGGCACCUUGGGCAUCACAGCAUAAAAUGCCACUCACAGGAAUUCACCUGUGACAUAGAGCCCACUAAUGCACUGUGGCACCUCCAAAACUCCAAGCAAACUGGCUAAUUGUUUUUACAACUUUUAAUUUUGUUAUUUUGGAGACAGGCUUUCACAUAGCCCAGGCUGGCCUUGAACUCACUAUGUAGCCAGUAUGUCCUUAAACUCCUGGCCCUCCUGUUGCCACUUCCUAAAUGCUAGAGUUAUAGGCACAUAGGACCAUGAAAUUUUAGAGAUGGUGAUGUCCACUAUAAUCCCAACAUUCAGGAGGCUAAAACUAGCCUGGGCUACACAGCAAAUUCCAGGCUAGGCUGGGCUA
rnacentral:lncRNA from 1 species